AUCCAGCUGAAGUGUCCAAAACAGGAUGAAAUAUAUGUCGUGGAU
rfam:Schistosoma mattheei strain Denwood, Zambia genome assembly, scaffold: SMTD_scaffold0013491